GUGGGCAGCCAUACCAGCCUGAAAGCACCCAAUCUCAUCUGAUCUCGGAAGCUAAGCAGGGUAGGCCUGGUUAGUGCUUGGAUGGGAUUCCACCCGGGGAAUGCUGGGUGAUGUAGGCU
ensembl:rRNA 5S_rRNA 5S ribosomal RNA